GGGCCCGCACAAGCAGUGGAGUAUGUGGUUUAAUUCGACGCAACGCGAAGAACCUUACCUGGGUUUGACAUGCAGGGGAAAGCUACAGAGAUGUAGCCUCGGCUUCGGUCGCCGCUGCACAGGUGCUGCAUGGCUGUCGUCAGCUCGUGCCGUGAGGUGUUGGGUUAAGUCCCGCAACGAGCGCAACCCUCGUCCUUAGUUGCCAUGCCGCAAGGCGGAACCCUAAGGAGACUGCCGGGGACAACCCGGAGGAAGGUGGGGAUGACGUCAAGUCCUCAUGGCCCUUACAUCCAGGGCUACACACGUACUACAAUGGUCGGUACAGUAGGUUGCAAGACCGCGAGGUGGAGCUAAUCCUCAAAACCGGCCUCAGUUCAGAUUGAAGUCUGCAACUCGACUUCAUGAAGGUGGAAUUGCUAGUAAUCGCAGAUCAGCACGCUGCGGUGAAUACGUUCCCGGGCCUU
rnacentral:rRNA from 1 species